rfam:Haemonchus placei strain MHpl1 genome assembly, scaffold: HPLM_scaffold0001077
GGUCCAAAUUUGAAGUAGAGCAGAUUAGUAGUAUCAGUUGACCCUACUUAUCUACUGUACUUCAAAUUUUGGCCC